rnacentral:ncRNA from 2 species
AGAUGAUUGGGGUGAAGUCGUAACAAGGUAGCCGUAUCGGAAGGUGCGGCUGGAUCACCUCCUUU